ACCCCUUCUCCGCCCGGCGCCAUGGCAACCGCGGCCCCUCUCGGCUCUCCCCACAGCUCCCCGGGCCGGGGUCGCUGACGUUCCCCGGGGCGAGGCGGCGGCAGCUCCGCGGCCCGCUCCCGACCCCCCACACCUUCCGCGUGGCUUCCCCCACAACCCCACCUUCCGGUCCUCACUAGCCCCAGGUCACCCCUUGGCCGCCUGGAUGUACCCUCACAGCUUGCGGGGCUCGGUAUCCCCAGUCUGGACACCCCACCUUUGUCCACCUUUUCGUCCAAAAUCUGUAUCCGCGGGACACGCAAUCCUUCCUUCAAUUCACCGCCGAAAAGGCAGGUGGGCCGGCUCUCUUUCCCGGAGCGUCUCCAUGCACUCCAGCUGCUAUAGGCAACAGAAUCAAAGCAGGAACGGCAUGAGCUGCAACUCUUCCCAAGGCGGGAGUGUGUGUGGGGAAGUGGUGUCCCUCCUUCCAUCUGAGGUGGAUUCUUCUGGCUCCUGCUGUAAAAGUCUCAGCCUCUCCGGCAGCCUCAUGGCCCUCACUCCUGGUAAAGUCUCUCUCUGCUGGUGCCUUCCCAGGAGGACUUAAACUCAAGUAUCUGCCAGCUUGCAAAAAUAAGUCUCAAUUUAGAUGUCAUUUCCUCUGUCCAAGUCUGGGGCCAGGGCCUUCUCACAGCACUCCCUACUGGAUCGGCACUCCCCG